rnacentral:rRNA from 1 species
AUUGAACGCUGGCGGCAGGCCUAACACAUGCAAGUCGAACGCGUGGCGGACGGGGGAGAAAAAUCUGGGAAACUGCCCGAUGGAGGGGGAGAAAAACUGGAAACGGGAGCUAAAACACCAUACCAUCUGCGGUGCGCCGAUGGGGGUAUCUCGGAGGUGGGGUAACGGCGCACCUAGGCGACGAUCCCUAGCUGGUCUGAGAGGAUGACCCGCCACACUGGAACUGAGACACGGUCCAGACUCCUACGGGAGGCAGCAGUGGGGAAUAUUGCACAAUGGGCGCAAGCCUGAUGCAGCCAUGCCGCGUGUAUGAAGAAGGCCUUCGGGUUGUAAAGUACUUUCAGCGAGGAGGCGUUACCCGCAGAAGAAGCACCGGCUAACUCCGUGCCAGCAGCCGCGGUAAUUC